GGUGGCGACCGGCGCACGGGUGAGUAACGCGUAUGCAACCUACCUAUCAGAGGGGGAUAACCCGGCGAAAGUCGGACUAAUACCGCAUAAAACAGGGGCACCGCAUGGUGMUAUUUGUUAAAGAUUAAUUGCUGAUAGAUGGGCAUGCGUUCCAUUAGGUAGUUGGUGAGGUAACGGCUCACCAAGCCAACGAUGGAUAGGGGAACUGAGAGGUUGGUCCCCCACACUGGUACUGAGACACGGACCAGACUCCUACGGGAGGCAGCAGUGAGGAAUAUUGGUCAAUGGGCGAGAGCCUGAACCAGCCAAGUCGCGUGAAGGAAGAAGGAUCUAUGGUUCGUAAACUUCUUUUGCAGGGGAAUAAAGUGGAGGACGUGUCCUCUUUUGUAUGUACCCUGAGAAUAAGGAUCGGCUAACUCCGUGCCAGCAGCCGCGGUAAUACGGAGGAUCCGAGCGUUAUCCGGAUUUAUUGGGUUUAAAGGGUGCGUAGGUGGUUUAAUAAGUCAGCGGUGAAAGUUUGCAGCUUAACUGUAAAAAUGCCGUUGAAACUGUUAGACUUGAGUGUAAAUGAGGUAGGCGGAAUGCGUGGUGUAGCGGUGAAAUGCUUAGAUAUCACGAAGAACUCCGAUU
rnacentral:rRNA from 1 species